rnacentral:rRNA from 1 species
GUGGGGAAUUUUGGACAAUGGGCGCAAGCCUGAUCCAGCAAUGCCGCGUGCAGGAAGAAGGCCUUCGGGUUGUAAACUGCUUUUGUACGGAACGAAACGGUCCGGGUUAAUACCCUGGGCUAAUGACGGUACCGUAAGAAUAAGUACCGGCUAACUACGUGCCAGCAGCCGCGGUAAUACGUAGGGUGCAAGCGUUAAUCGGAAUUACUGGGCGUAAAGCGUGCGCAGGCGGUUUUGUAAGACAGGCGUGAAAUCCCCGGGCUCAACCUGGGAAUUGCGCUUGUGACUGCAAGGCUGGAGUGCGGCAGAGGGGGAUGGAAUUCCGCGUGUAGCAGUGAAAUGCGUAGAUAUGCGGAGGAACACCGAUGGCGAAGGCAAUCCCCUGGGCCUGCACUGACGCUCAUGCACGAAAGCGUGGGGAGCAAACAGGAUUAGAUACCCUUGUAGUCC